rnacentral:lncRNA from 10 species
CUUAUUAUAGUUUUGAAGGAUUGAGGUUUUUUUUUGUUUUUUUGUUUUUUUUUUGAGAUGGAGUCUUGCUGUUUUGCCCAGGCUGGAGUGCAGUGGCACGAUCUCUGCUCACUGCAAGUUCCACCUCCCAGGUUCACGCCAUUCUCCUGUCUCAACCUCCUGAGUAGCUGGGACUACAGGUGCCCGCCACCAUGUCCGGCUAAUUUUUUUGUAUUUUUAGUAGAGAUGGGGUUUCACUGUGUUAGCCAGGAUUGUCUCCAUCUCCUGACCUCGUGAUCCUCCCGCCUUUGCCUCCCAAAGUGCUGGGAUUACAGGCGUGAGCCACUGCACCCGGCUUUAGGAUUGAGAUUUUUAAAUGAAAUUUCGAGAUAUUGGCAAUGAGAAUGUGAUAUAAAUAGAAGCACUUGUCCUGCCAAUUACACUGUUUGUUGCCUGAGUUCAUACACAGAAAAAAUGCUGUUUCUGUUGGAGAAUAGUAAAAAGAAAAAAAAAAGAUUUGACUUUUUUUUUUUCUAUACUCAUUCCCAGAUCCCCUGAAGACUUUCUAUGUAUCCCAGGCUAAGAACCUUACUCUGCAAUCUUUUCCAUGUACCAUAAACUCAAUAAACAGCAAACAGCUGUGAUAAACUUGGUUCUUCUCACAAGUCAUGAAGGAAAAGCCAAAUAUUCCACCCAAAGGACCUGGAACUUUUUAUGGGGAUUAAUGAUGAGUUAAGUUUUUAAUUAUUUAUUAUUUUGAGGAGUUCUCGAAAUCAGAUUUUAGCAAAUUAGAAUACUGUCUCUCAUCCCUUUAGAAGGGUGAACCUUAAGGAUAGGAAUUGAAAACACCCACAAUAUUGUACUAUACCAUAAUUAAUGUUUAGUCAUUGCUUAUUUGGAAUCUAGACACUAUUCUAAGCAUUUUGAUAGGAUUAUCUGUUUCAACUUAACAAAUACUUACAAGUUAGAUUUUUAAAAAUACAUUUACAACAAGGAAACUUAGUAUAGCUUGCCCAGGGUCACCCCCACAGCAUGUAUGUCAAGCAGGCUGUCUCUAUGAUAGUUUGGAGGGAUACUAUGAUGCCAAUUUGCUGGAGUAAUAGAAUAUGGUGAAUGAUGCAGUGCUAGCUACAAUCUGUCCAUGAUUAAAGGCACAAUCAAAGCAUAAAUUUUCAUAAAUUUCAGCCCAACAAGGUUUUCUUUUACGGGUGUACAUAGUCAUGUUUUCAAUCGGCCCUCGGUGAUCUUAUCCUAAUUUGACCUCUAAAUGUGUAACUUUCAUAUACUUUUAGUUCCCUCAGUAGCACUAUCUAGCCUGCAUGCCAAAGAGCCCUGCUUGGUUAACUAGGAAUGCAUAAAUCAAUAAAAAUAAUCUCAGAGACAAUAAAGAUAUGAGUUACUUA